rnacentral:lncRNA from 1 species
UUUUUUUUUUUUUUUUUUUUUUUGGUCUUUUCGCCCUUUCUAGGGCUGCUCCUGUGACCUACACCACAGAUCCGGCGUUGCUGUGAGCUGAGGUGAAGGUCACAGAUGCGGCUCAGAUCUGGCGUGGCUAUGGCUGUGGUGUAGGCCGGCAGCUGCAGCUCCAGUUCGACCCCUAGCCUGGGAACUUCCAUGUGCUGCAGGUGCAGCCCUAAAAAAGCAAAUACAUAAUUAAAUAAAUUCCAGGAUUUCCCAUUAUGGCGCAGUGGUUAACGAAUCCGACUAGGAACCAUGAGGUUGCGGGUUCGGUCCCUGCCCUUGCUCAGUGGGUUAACGAUCCAGUGUUGCCAUGAGCUGUGGUGUAGGUCGCAAACGCCGCUUGGAUCCCACGUUGCUGUGGCUCUGCUGUAGGCCGGCAGCUACAGCUCCGAUUCGACCCCUAGCCUGGGAACCUCCAUAUGCCGUAGGAGCGGCCCNNNNNNNNNNNNNNNNGCGCGUGGGGCGCGCCCAAAAAAAAAAAAAAAGAAAAAAAAAAAAAAAAAAAAAAAAGAAUAAAUAAAUUCCAGAUUCUGCCCAGUGUCUUCCUCUGGAGCCCAAAGUCCCUCUCACUUGAGGAACCACAAACCGCUGUUCUAGACCAAGAGUCCAGACUAUAGCAACGGCACCGAGGUGAGGCGGUGAGAGUUGGCCCAGGCUGAACACAGAGUGAGAGGGUCAAGGGCCAUGCCCAGGCCUGUGGGCCCUAAGCUGCUUUUGAGGAGGGUGAGUACCAGGCUCCCGGUGGCGAAUCAGCAGAGCUGCUGUGAUGGUGUCGUGCUCCACUGAAUAGCACCUGUAGAGCUUGGGUGCUGCGGCCUGGCACAGAGGGAGCGCUCAGGAAAUGCCAGGCGCUGCUGUUACUGCCCUUGCUUCAGACAGAGUAGAAGCAGAGCGUUUUAGAGUCUUCAGCUGCUGGGACAAAAAUACCUCCAGGGAGUGGCUUAGGAAAGAUAAACACGGGUUUCUCACUGUUCUGGAAGCCGAGGAGCCCAAGGUGCCAGCAGAUUUGCUGUGGCCUGGUACACAGCCGGGAAUGUGUUGUGGGAAGAAUUUUCGAUUUACCUACAGAUAUAAUUGUGGAGUAAAUUUUUGCUCACGUUAAGUGUGUGUAUCUUUGGGGGGGGUGCGUGUGUGCAUGUGUUUAAGAUCAGACUGGCACACUUUUCUUGUAAAGGAGCAUGUGGUACAUAUCUUUGACUUUAUGGGCCGUACUCAGCUUUGCCUUUGCAGUGUGGAAAAAGCCACAGACAGCACAUCAACCCGUGAGCAUGGCUGUAUUCCACCAAAACGUUAUUUGCACAACAGCAAGAUCCUAUCAGACAGCACAGGGACUAUAUCCAGUCUCUUGAAAGAUAAUAUAAGAAAAGGAAUGUGUAGGAGUUCCCAUUGUGGCUCAGCGGUAAUGAACCCGACUAGGAUCCAUGAGGAUGCAGGUUCCAUCAUAGCCUCACUCAGCGGGUUACGGAUGCAGCAUUGCUGUGAGCUGCAGGAGACGUGGCUCGGAUCCCGCGUGGCAGUGGCUGUGAAGGAGGCUGGCAGCUGCAGCUCCACUUCAACCCCUAGCUGGGGACUUCAUAGGCUGCCGGUGCGACCCUAAAAAGAAAAAAAAACAAAAA